rnacentral:rRNA from 1 species
GACGAACGCUGGCGGCGUGGAUUAGGCAUGCAAGUCGAACGGUAUCAUCCUUUCGGGGGUGAGAGAGUGGCGAACUGGUGAGUAACACGUAGGUUAUCUACCCUCAAGACGGGGACAACCCAGGGAAACUUGGGCUAAUACCGGAUGUGAGCAACUUUUAGUUGUUUGAAAGGUGGCGUAAGCUGUCGCUUGGGGAUGAGCCUGCGUCCUAUUAGUUAGUUGGUGAGGUAACGGCUCACCUAGGCAAUGAUAGGUAGGCGGCCUUAACGGGUGGUCGCCCACACUGGGAUUGAGAUACGGCCCAGACUCCUACGGGAGGCAGCAGUCGAGAAUAGUCUACAAUGGUCGGAAGACUGAUAGUGCGACGCCGCGUGAACGAUGAAUCCCUUCGGGGUGUAAAGUUCUUUUAUAUGUGAGCAGUGCUUCUUAUAUUAACAGUAUGGGGAAGAGAUAUUAGCAUAUGAAUAAGCAACGGCUAACUCCGUGCCAGCAGCCGACGGU